rnacentral:rRNA from 1 species
GUAUUAGAGGCACUGCCUGCCCAGUGACUCCAGUUAAACGGCCGCGGUAUUCUGACCGUGCAAAGGUAGCAUAAUCACUUGUUCUCUAAAUAGGGACUUGUAUGAAUGGCCCCACGAGGGUUUAACUGUCUCUUACUUUUAAUCAGUGAAAUUGAUGUUCCCGUGAAGAAGCGGGAAUUAAAAAAUAAGACGAGAAGACCCUAUGGAGCUUUAAUUAACUAAUUUACAAAUAAUAUUACCAAUCUAUCAGAAAUAAAUCAAAGUUGACUAAAUUAGCAAUUUCGGUUGGGGCGACCUCGGAAUAAAAUCUAACUUCCGAGAAAAAUCUUACUAAGGCCUACAAGCCAAAGUAUCCAAUCAUACAUUGAUCCGCUAUAAGCGAUCAACGAAAUAAGUUACCCUAGGGAUAACAGCGCAAUCCUAUUUAAGAGUCCAUAUCGACAAUUAGGGUUUACGACCUCGAUGUUGGAUCAGGACAUUCCAAUGGUGCAGCAGCUAUUAAUGUGUUCGUUUGUUCAACGAUUAAAGUCCUACGUGAUCUGAGU